rnacentral:rRNA from 1 species
GGUAGAGGAGCGUUCUGUAAGCCUGUGAAGGUGAGUUGAGAAGCUUGCUGGAGGUAUCAGAAGUGCGAAUGCUGACAUGAGUAACGACAAUGGGUGUGAAAAACACCCACGCCGAAAGACCAAGGGUUCCUGCGCAACGUUAAUCGACGCAGGGUUAGUCGGUUCCUAAGGCGAGGCUGAAAAGCGUAGUCGAUGGGAAACAGGUUAAUAUUCCUGUACUUCUGGUUACUGCGAUGGAGGGACGGAGAAGGCUAGGCCAGCUUGGCGUUGGUUGUCCAAGUUUAAGGUGGUAGGCUGAAAUCUUAGGUAAAUCCGGGGUUUCAAGGCCGAGAGCUGAUGACGAGUCGUCUUUUAGAUGACGAAGUGGUUGAUGCCAUGCUUCCAAGAAAAGCUUCUAAGCUUCAGGUAACCAGGAACCGUACCCCAAACCGACACAGGUGGUCGGGUAGAGAAUACCAAGGCGCUUGAGAGAACUCGGGUGAAGGAACUAGGCAAAAUGGCACCGUAACUUCGGGAGAAGGUGCGCCGGCUAGGGUGAAGGAUUUACUCCGUAAGCUCUGGCUGGUCGAAGAUACCAGGCCGCUGCGACUGUUUAUUAAAAACACAGCACUCUGCAAACACGAAAGUGGACGUAUAGGGUGUGACGCCUGCCCGGUGCCGGAAGGUUAAUUGAUGGGGUUAGCGCAAGCGAAGCUCUUGAUCGAAGCCCCGGUAAACGGCGGCCGUAACUAUAACGGUCCUAAGGUAGCGAAAUUCCUUGUCGGGUAAGUUCCGACCUGCACGAAUGGCGUAACGAUGGCGGCGCUGUCUCCACCCGAGACUCAGUGAAAUUGAAAUCGCUGUGAAGAUGCAGUGUAUCCGCGGCUAGACGGAAAGACCCCGUGAACCUUUACUGUAGCUUUGCACUGGACUUUGAGCCUGCUUGUGUAGGAUAGGUGGGAGGCUUUGAAGCGUGGACGCCAGUUCGCGUGGAGCCAUCCUUGAAAUACCACCCUGGCAUGCUUGAGGUUCUAACUCUGGUCCGUGAUCCGGAUCGAGGACAGUGUAUGGU